rnacentral:ncRNA from 2 species
AAAUACUCUAUUUAAACAGGUGCUGAUAGUUUCAUAUUGUCAGCUUAAAAGGGAAGUUUGGUGAAAAUCCAACGCGGUCCCGCCACUGUAAAUGCGAGCAACCUAUUAUAAGCCACUGCCCACUUCGGGCGGGAAGGCGUAGGGAGCGAUGACCAUUAGCCAGGAGACCUGCCUGUUUUACACGCACCAU